rnacentral:rRNA from 1 species
CCCGCAGACGACGCUGGCGGCGUGCCUAAUACAUGCAAGUCGAGCGAAUCUUUGGGAGCUUGCUCCCAUUGGUUAGCGGCGGACGGGUGAGUAACACGUGGGCAACCUGCCUGUAAGACUGGGAUAACUUCGGGAAACCGGAGCUAAUACCGGAUAAUCCAUUUCCUCUCAUGAGGAAAUGUUGAAAGUCGGUUUCGGCUGACACUUACAGAUGGGCCCGCGGCGCAUUAGCUAGUUGGUGAGGUAACGGCUCACCAAGGCGACGAUGCGUAGCCGACCUGAGAGGGUGAUCGGCCACACUGGGACUGAGACACGGCCCAGACUCCUACGGGAGGCAGCAGUAGGGAAUCUUCCACAAUGGACGAAAGUCUGAUGGAGCAACGCCGCGUGAGCGAUGAAGGCCUUCGGGUCGUAAAGCUCUGUUGUUAGGGAAGAACAAGUACCGGAGUAACUGCCGGUACCUUGACGGUACCUAACCAGAAAGCCACGGCUAACUACGUGCCAGCAGCCGCGGUAAUACGUAGGUGGCAAGCGUUGUCCGGAAUUAUUGGGCGUAAAGCGCGCGCAGGCGGUCCUUUAAGUCUGAUGUGAAAGCCCACGGCUCAACCGUGGAGGGUCAUUGGAAACUGGGGGACUUGAGUGCAGAAGAGGAAAGCGGAAUUCCACGUGUAGCGGUGAAAUGCGUAGAGAUGUGGAGGAACACCAGUGGCGAAGGCGGCUUUCUGGUCUGUAACUGACGCUGAGGCGCGAAAGCGUGGGGAGCAAACAGGAUUAGAUACCCUGGUAGUCCACGCCGUAAACGAUGAGUGCUAAGUGUUAGGGGGUUUCCGCCCCUUAGUGCUGCAGCUAACGCAUUAAGCACUCCGCCUGG